rnacentral:rRNA from 1 species
CUAGCGACUUCAGAGUUUGAUCCUGGCUCAGGAUGAACGCUAGCGGCAGGCUUAACACAUGCAAGUCAGGGGCAGCGUGAUGAAGUAGCAAUACGGAUUUGACGGCGACCGGCGCACGGGUGCGUAACGCGUAUGUAACCUACCUUUAACAGGGGGAUAACACUGAGAAAUUGGUACUAAUACCCCAUAAUAGAUAAGAGGGCAUCCUUUUAUUUUGAAAGUUCCGGCGGUUAAAGAUGGACAUGCGUUGUAUUAGCUAGAUGGUGAGGUAACGGCUCACCAUGGCGACGAUACAUAGGGGGACUGAGAGGUUAACCCCCCACACUGGUACUGAGACACGGACCAG